rnacentral:rRNA from 1 species
GUCUAAGUAGCGCAAGCCAUAUUAUGGGGAAACCGCGAAUGGCUCAUUAAAUCACACCUAAUCUACUGGAAUGUUAGCAGGUACUUGGAUAAAUGAAGUAAUUCCUGAACUAAUACACUCGAAAAAUCCCUACUCACGAAAGGAUGCUUUUAUUAGAUAAAAACCAAACAGCGGCGGCUGUACCACUUGGUGACUCUGAAUAACUUUGGGCUGAUCGCAUUGCCUUGAGCAGGCGACAAUUCCUCCGAAGGUGUGCCCUAUCAACUGUCCGGACUGUGAUAUAGACGCUCACUGUGGUUUUGACUGGUAACGGGGAAUCAGGGUUCGAUUCCGGAGAGGGAGCCUAAAAAACGGCUACCACAUCCAAGGAAGGCAGCAGGCACUUUGCAAAUUACCCAAUGAACGAAAACCGGGGUACUGACGAAAAAUAACAAUACAAGACUCAUCCGAGGCCUUGUAAUUGGAAUGAGUACACUUUAAAACCGUUAUCAAUCACGAGGAUCUAUUGGAGGGCAAGUCGGGUGCCAGCAUCCGCGGUAAUUCCAGCUCAGCAAUACCGUAUAUUAAAGUUGUUGUGGUUAAAAAGCUCGUAGUUGGAUUUCGGCGGGUAAAGGUCGGUUUGAAUUGCUUCAACACUGACUUGGUUUACCCGUGUGUUUUGCCAGAAUUUAACGGGUGAUCUUCACCGAUUGUCCGC